rnacentral:tRNA from 1 species
GCCUCAGUAGCGUAGUGGCUAACGCACGGCCCCGGUUAGGCGCGGGACAUGGGUUCGAAUCCCGUCUGAGAUG